rnacentral:lncRNA from 1 species
GCAGAGCUUAGGCCGGCAGCAGUCAGAAAUGUCUGCUGGAGAAGACACUGCAAAGUGUCAGUGAGGGCGUUUGAGAAUUAAUUUUACCCUAGAGUAGCUGCGCAGGUCUGUUUAGCACUCACCUCUACAGUUUUGAACAUUCGAUAACACCAGAAUCAGUCUGAUGCCUUGAACACUUUACAUGAAGGGUUUUUCAAAAUCUAGCCACAAACAGAUAUGACCAGAUUUCAAAAAAUUUUGAGAAACUAGGAGGAAUCUAUUUUGACAAAGCCAAGCCACACAUAGGAUAGAGGGCAGACAUGCGUGCCCUGGAAAGAAGAAAGUAGAAGGAUCAACUAAAAGAGCUCUCCCACUAAAUGGCUGUGGGCUCCUCUAAGAAACUGAAACAUGGAAGAAGGAAGGACCAGCCAGCCAGAACAGCAGUGGGUAUCAAGGAAUGAUAUAAAAGCAAGCUCAAGACAGUCAAGAUUCAAGGAGCUAUAUACCUUGCUUCCUUUCCAGAGCUGAAAUUUGAGUCAAGAGUCCAUUUCUUCCAUCUGGCCAGAUGAUCUCCAGGAUACUCUCAUGUAUGUCAAUAAUAACUUUUCUUUUAUAAUUUUGUCUUUCUCAAUAUUUAACUCACAGUUCAAUGCAUUUCCAUUCAAAUAUGUGUCUUGUGAUAUGUGGCACUACUCUACCUCCUUUUCUGAAAGGCUGCUCCUUUCUAACAAGGUGAACACCUCCACUGCCAUAUUUAGGUAUAAGGAUCCUCCCAUCAAGUAUCUGAGACUCCUAGAGGUACCACUGGGAACUUGGGGAUUACAGACCAUUUAAAC